ACAACAUAUUUUUUUUUAAAUUUUCGAAUUUAAAUGAUCGGCGAUUGGAUCGUAGUAUUGAAUUAUAUUGACUGAAGCUCCAUUCAACGUCACAUGAUGUAGUUAGCGUAUAUUUAAAUUAAGAAAUUUGUCCUGGUGUUAAAUUACAGCUGAAAUUGUCCUCGUUUGAUUCGCCAUUUAAUAUUUUAUUUAUUGAUUGUAGAGUUUUAAAUCCUUUAUUUUUUUGUAAAACUAGAGAUAUUUUGUUUUCAAAUUUAUCUGCGACUCUUCCGUUGCACUCAAAAAGUCGAUUCCUAGCAUUUUUUAUAAUUUAUAGACUUUCAUGAAGUAUUUCUUUGUCAAACUAUUCAAUUUUUAUCGCAUACCUAUUGUACC
rnacentral:lncRNA from 1 species